AUUGAACGCUGGCGGCAUGCUUUACACAUGCAAGUCGAACGGCAGCGCGGGCUUCGGCCUGGCGGCGAGUGGCGAACGGGUGAGUAAUGCAUCGGAAAGUGCCCAGUAGUGGGGGAUAGCUCGGCGAAAGCCGGAUUAAUACCGCAUACGACCUGAGGGUGAAAGCGGGGGACCGAAAGGCCUCGCGCUAUUGGAGCGGCCGAUGUCGGAUUAGCUAGUUGGUGGGGUAAAGGCUUACCAAGGCGACGAUCCGUAGCUGGUCUGAGAGGACGACCAGCCACACUGGGACUGAGACACGGCCCAGACUCCUACGGGAGGCAGCAGUGGGGAAUUUUGGACAAUGGGGGCAACCCUGAUCCAGCCAUGCCGCGUGCGGGAAGAAGGCCUUCGGGUUGUAAACCGCUUUUGGUCGGGAAGAAAUCCUCUGGGCUAAUACCCCGGGGGGAUGACGGUACCGGAAGAAUAAGCACCGGCUAACUACGUG
rnacentral:rRNA from 1 species